CCAUGUAGUCCACACUGGAGUUGAACACGGAGCCAAGGUGUGCAGAAAGCGAGACAUGGGCAGAUUCCACGAUGUCACCACCUCCACCAUCGACCGGGGUAAUUCUAUACUCAGUGGCUUGGAUACAGUCAUAUCCCUACAAAACAAAAAGAUAAAAGGCCUGCUCCAGCCAGAGUGGUGGUGGUCUCACUCAAAUAACCAACAAAAUAAUUGCUAAAGUGGAAAGACAUUGUGUUCUCAUACGCCAGCAACCACCUAAUGCAAAGACAUUAAAAGAGGAAGAAUCAGAUGGAUAUUACAUGAAAGUAACAGAU